GUCCAAGUGAUGGCCGAUAUUAUUGGGCCUAAAGCGUCCGUAGCCGGCCGGACAAGUCCGUUGGGAAAUCGACGCGCUCAACGCGUCGGCGUCCAGCGGAAACUGUCCGGCUUGGGGCCGGAAGACCUGGGGGGUACGUCCGGGGUAGGAGUGAAAUCCUGUAAUCCUGGACGGACCACCAAUGGGGAAACCACCUCAGGAAGACGGACCCGACGGUGAGGGACGAAAGCUAGGGUCUCGAACCGGAUUAGAUACCCGGGUAGUCCUAGCUGUAAACGAUGCUCGCUAGGUGUGCCGUAGGCUACGAGCCUGCGCUGCGCCCUAGGGAAGCCGAGAAGCGAGCCGCCUGGGAAGUACGUCUGCAAGGAUGAAACUUAAAGGAAUUGGCGGGGGAGCACCACAACCGGAGGAGCCUGCGGUUUAAUUGGACUCAACGCCGGAAAUCUCACCGGUCCCGACAGUAGUAAUGACGGUCAGGUUGACGACUUUACCCGACGCUACUGAGAGGAGGUGCAUGGCCGCCGUCAGCUCGUACCGUGAGGCGUCCUGUUAAGUCAGGCAACGAGCGAGACCCGCACUUCUAGUUGCCAGCAAUACCCUUGAGGUAGUUGGGUACACUAGGAGGACUGCCGCUGCUAAAGCGGAGGAAGGAACGGGCAACGGUAGGUCAGUAUGCCCCGAAUGGACCGGGCAACACGCGGGCUACAAUGGCUCUGACAGUGGGAUGCAACGCCGAGAGGCGACGCUAAUCUCCAAACGGAGUCGUAGUUCGGAUUGCGGGCUGAAACNNGCAAGGGGGCUUAAGUCGUAACAAGGUAGCCGUAGAGGAAUCUGUGGCUGGAUCACCUCCUA
rnacentral:rRNA from 1 species